UACGUAUGGUGCAGGCGUUAAUCGGAAUUACUGGGCGUAAAGCGUGCGCAGGCGGUUUGCUAAGACAGGUGUGAAAUCCCCGGGCUUAACCUGGGAACUGCGCUUGUAACUGGCAAGCUGGAGUGUGGCAGAGGGGGGUGGAAUUCCACGUGUAGCAGUGAAAUGCGUAGAGAUGUGGAGGAACGCCGAUGGCGAAGGCAGCCCCCUGGGCUAACACUGACGCUCAUACACGAAAGCGUGGGGAGCAAACAGG
rnacentral:rRNA from 1 species